rnacentral:rRNA from 1 species
UAAGGAAUAUUGGUCAAUGGACGCAAGUCUGAACCAGCCAUGCCGCGUGGAGGAUGAAGGUCCUCUGGAUUGUAAACUUCUUUUAUUUGGGAAGAAAUGUGAAAAUUCUUUUUCACUUGACGGUACCAGAUGAAUAAGCACCGGCUAACUCCGUGCCAGCAGCCGCGGUAAUACGGAGGGUGCAAGCGUUAUCCGGAUUUACUGGGUUUAAAGGGUGCGCAGGCGGAUAUGUAAGUCAGUGGUGAAAUCUUUGGGCUUAACCCGAAAAUUGCCGUUGAUACUAUAUAUCUUGAAUGCUGUGGAGGUAAGCAGAAUAUGUCAUGUAGCGGUGAAAUGCUUAGAGAUGACAUAGAAUACCUAUUGCGAAGGCAGCUUACUACGCAGAUAUUGACGCUCAUGCACGAAAGCGUGGGGAUCAAACAG